rnacentral:rRNA from 1 species
CGAGAGGAACGAACCGCCGGCGCCUCUGGUCUACCGGUUAUCCGACAGGGUAUUGCCGGGCAGCCACGCGCCAUGAUCAUAAAGGCUGAAAGCAUCUAAGCCUGAGGGAUCCCCUGAAAAU